UAAAUAGCCACAGAAGACUGUAGCAAGGCAGAGAACAACCAUUCCACUCCAAGUAAUCAAGCUUUCAAUCUCUGCAACUUGUUCUUCAACGAAAAAGAGGGAAGAGCAGCAUUAACUGCAUCCACCUACUUCUUCCCAACAUUGAAAGAGCCUCCUCCUGCAUUCAAGUCGACUACACAUUCAAGAGGAGACCCGAAGUUCAAGAAGCCCUUCCUCUUCUCCAACUUAAAAGCGUUUGAGGGCUCUUAACUUCGUUAUUGUUCAUAUUGCCAUUUAUCUGCUUUUGAGAAGCUGUAUUUUUCUGUUUGUUCUUUUCAUCUA
rnacentral:lncRNA from 1 species